AUUGAACGCUGGCGGCAUGCUUUACACAUGCAAGUCGAACGGCAGCGCGGGGCAACCUGGCGGCGAGUGGCGAACGGGUGAGUAAUAUAUCGGAACGUACCCAGAAGUGGGGGAUAACGUAGCGAAAGUUACGCUAAUACCGCAUACGAUCUACGGAUGAAAGUAGGGGACCGCAAGGCCUUAUGCUUUUGGAGCGGCCGAUAUCUGAUUAGCUAGUUGGUGAGGUAAAGGCUCACCAAGGCGACGAUCAGUAGCUGGUCUGAGAGGACGACCAGCCACACUGGAACUGAGACACGGUCCAGACUCCUAAGGGAGGCAGCAGUGGGGAAUUUUGGACAAUGGGCGGAAGCCUUAUCCAGCAAUGCCGCGUGAGUGAAGAAGGCCUUCGGGUUGUAAAGCUCUUUUGUCAGGGAAGAAACGGUAGAGGCUAAUAUCCUUUGCUAAUGACGGUACCUGAAGAAUAAGCACCGGCUAACUACGUG
rnacentral:rRNA from 1 species